rnacentral:rRNA from 1 species
CAAGGCGAAGACGGGUAGCCGGCCUGAGAGGGUGAACGGCCACACUGGGACUGAGACACGGCCCAGACUCCUACGGGAGGCAGCAGUGAGGAAUUUUCCGCAAUGGGCGCAAGCCUGACGGAGCGACGCCGCGUGAGGGAUGACGGCCUUCGGGUUGUAAACCUCUUUUAUAAGGGAAAAAGGUUGGCAUGCUAGUACCAUGUCAAUUUGAUGGUACCUUUUGAAUAAGCCCCGGCUAACUACGUGCCAGCAGCCGCGGUAAUACGUAGGGGGCGAGCGUUGUCCGGAGUUACUGGGCGUAAAGAGCGUGUAGGCGGUUGGAAAAGUCAGGUGUGAAAUUCUUCGGCUCAACCGGGGGACUGCGCCUGAAACUUUCCGACUGGAGUUUGGGAGGGGCAACCGGAAUUCCUGGUGUAACGGUGAAAUGUGUAGAUAUCAGGAGGAACACCCGUGGCGAAGGCGGGUUGCUGGACCAAAACUGACGCUGAGACGCGAAAGCGUGGGUAGCAAACAGGAUUAGAUACCCUGGUAGUCCACGCUGUAAACGAUGAGUGCUAGGUGUAGGGGGUAUCGACUCCCUCUGUGCCGCAGUUAAUGCAUUA